rnacentral:lncRNA from 7 species
ACAAUUUCAAGCGAAAUUUAGGUCACAGAUAAGUGCCACGGUACAAAAAUAUAAUCCUGUAAAUCUCUGCACAGCUGCUAACAGAUCUGGGAAUAAGUUGAGCUCUGUAGGUACUCCUGUGUUCAACACAGAACUUCCAUCGAUAUCUCAGCUCUUAUUCUUGGCAUAUGCGUAUGUAGUACACAUUGGCAGGGCUCAGCCACAGUGUCUGUGCCUGGUGCUAGACCUAAAUCAGGAUUCGAGGGUUGGGAUUCAGAAUUCCUGCCUUGGGCUCCAGCACUUUUCUAGGAGAAGUUAUCUGGGCACAUCUGCUGAUGUGUGGAAAGCAAGACUAACUUCCUGCUGCUCCCUGCGGGACCGAGAGUUCUGGCCAUGUGCUCACAUUAUAAAUGGAGACUGCUGCAUCUUCUUCUAAUUUUGAAGUCAGUCCUUCUCAAGUAGUGCUUCGUCAGCCUGAGCUCCUGAACCUGCUUACGAACCAGGAAAGAGCUCCGAAAUACAGAUGUGGCAGGAUUGCCUCUGGGGAAUGGGACUCUCACAUCUUUCCCCACCUUCUCUGGUACCAACCAGUGCAACUCAAUUCCUCACAGAGAUCAAUUAUUCAGAAAGCACUUUUUGGUUUUACAGUGGAAAGGUCUGACAGAGCUCUUUUCCAUUCCCAUCCCAUUUCCAGGUGCCUUCCAUGAACCCUUCCAGAACUUUGCUGCAUGUACUCCUCUGAGAAAUUUUUUAUCUCCUGAAAAGCAUCUUUUCUCAAUAUUCUUUCUCUCAAUAUUUUCUUUCUCUCAAGAAUGCAUCUUCUCAAGAUGGCCAUUUAAAAAAUGAAAACAUUCUUUUCAGAAACUGUAAAAUUUCCAAAUUAUUUUUACCCACAUUCUUAGUUGUCUUCCUGUCCUAACGGGCAAAAGAUAACUUCUUUAAAACCCUGAAUCUAACCUUCUACUGACUAUGACAUUUCAUUCAGUGAUAAGAUUUCUGGCAGCACAUGAGCUUGUGCACCUAUAUCCAAUUUAAAAUAUUUCAUUUGCUUUUGGACUGAUGGUUAAUUUUCUGUUUCUUCAUUCCCUCUUCAGAUUCUCCCAGCACUGGUAAAUUCUUAGAAAGUGAUGCAGUUACUUUCAGUUUCUGCAUUUUCUUCUGAAAGCCAGGCAUUAUGUAGUUUAUGGCCAUGCAUGGAACUGUUUCAUGUAUCCUGCAUAUCAUCUCCGUGUGCUUUCUUUCUCAUUAAUUGCAGUAAUUCAUCCUCCUUUGCAUCUUCUGUGUCAAAAUAGCCUUUACCCCUGCAUGAAGCUCAAACUGGACUAGAUGAUAGUUUUGCAUGAUCUACCCAAGU